UGAUGUGAGGAACGAUAACUCUGGAGACACAGACAGAGAGAAUGAAGCAGCAUCCAUCUCCCAGCUGACAGUUUUACACUGAUGGAUCCUGUUUCUCCUUCUGUGCCCAAGCUUCCUGUUUGCGCUCUCUGCACCAUGGUUACGGCCCUGUUCACACCCCUCAGCCUGGAACGCCCGACACGCUACAGCAGAGCACUGGGUCACACUUACACACCCAAUGCUGUGGGUUUGAAACCACCCAGUCAUCAAACCCCCACCUUCAUCGGCUGUGAAAACUCAUCACUACUACCACUGCGGCAACCCGUGACACCCCCCUGGUGGAUGACUAUGUGUUCGAGACAACCAGGGCUCCAUCAGUGAUUAUUUCUCUCUGCUGCCAGGAUGACCGCACACUGACCAGACAACAUUUGGCCUCCACGUGUGUUCUCAGUGUCCAGCGCAACCUCCAGGUUUGUAGGCUCAGCAGCAGAAACAAGGUCGUGGCGGACAUUUCAUUUUCACAGUAGAGACAGCGCCGUCACGCUGCCAGUGUAGGAGCUCGGAACCCGUCAGCACUACACGCAGCUUAGGAAUACUUUAGAAUAUUAAUUGCACACUUAGUAUGCUGUCGUCAUAUGGCUUUUAUUAGUAUUCCAUCAAGUCAAUGAGGCGUGAAAGGGCCAGAUGCUGUGUCCUCAUCUUUUCUGCAUACAGUUUUGUCUUUUGUCACUUAUUAGUGCACUUGAGUGACAACCCACUCUUCAAUUCACCACCCGGGUGUCAGGUAUUUAUUAACUGGACCAGUGGGUUUAAAAUGCUUUAAUAAUACUCAGGUGUGAAGUACGUUAUUAGUGUGAGUGUAGGAUGACGGAAGUUUACAAUUACACUGUUGUCACUAAACAAUGUUCUUAAUGACGAACAAGCGGUAGAACGCUGUAUCAUUCAGUGCCCAGUAUUAAUCUAGGAAUGGUGCACAAUUAAUAUACAUAUUAUUUAAAAAAAGGCGACAUAAAAAGCACACCGUCUGUACAGCAGAAGGCUACACCGUCACUUUUGCUAGGUUUGGCUAACUAUCUUUUUAGCCUUUUAUUUUUUUAAUGAUGACAUUUUAUUAUUAAAAUUUUGGGUAUGGGAUGUAACUAGAUACAUUAUGUAUAUAUUAACACAGUUUGACCUAAUUUGUUCAUUGUGUAUAAUUUAUGAAUUUACUUUAUUU